rnacentral:rRNA from 1 species
GAUGAACGCUGGCGGCGUGCUUAACACAUGCAAGUCGAACGGAAAGGCCCAAGCUUGCUUGGGUACUCGAGUGGCGAACGGGUGAGUAACACGUGGGUGAUCUGCCCUGCACUUCGGGAUAAGCCUGGGAAACUGGGUCUAAUACCGGAUAGGACCACAUUUUGGAUGGUGUGGUGGAAAGUUUUUCGGUGUGGGAUGAGCUCGCGGCCUAUCAGCUUGUUGGUGGGGUAAUGGCCUACCAAGGCGUCGACGGGUAGCCGGCCUGAGAGGGUGUACGGCCACAUUGGGACUGAGAUACGGCCCAGACUCCUACGGGAGGCAGCAGUGGGGAAUAUUGCACAAUGGGCGCAAGCCUGAUGCAGCGACGCCGCGUGGGGGAUGACGGCCUUCGGGUCGUAAACUCCUUUCGCUAGGGACGAAGCGUUAUGUGACGGUACCUGGAGAAGAAGCACCGGCUAACUACGUG